rnacentral:rRNA from 1 species
CCUACGGGGGGCAGCAGUGGGGAAUAUUGCGCAAUGGGCGAAAGCCUGACGCAGCGACGCCGCGUGAGGGAUGCAGGUCUUCGGAUCGUAAACCUCUGUCAGCAGGGAAGAACGGUCACUGUGCUAAUCAGCAGUGAAUUGACGGUACCUGCAAAGGAAGCACCGGCUAACUCCGUGCCAGCAGCCGCGGUAAUCCGGAGGGUGCGAGCGUUAAUCGGAAUUACUGGGCGUAAAGCGCUCGUAGGCGGUAUGUCAAGUCAAGGGUGAAAUCCCCGCGCUCAACGUGGGAACUGCCUUUGAAACUGGCAAACUGGAGUGUGUGAGAGGAUAGUGGAAUUCCAGGUGUAGGAGUGAAAGCCGUAGAUAUCUGGAGGAACAUCAGUGGCGAAGGCGACUAUCUGGCACAUAACUGACGCUGAGGAGCGAAAGCGUGGGUAGCAAACAGGAUUAGAUACCCGGGUAGUC